rnacentral:rRNA from 1 species
GACGAACGCUGGCGGCGUGCUUAACACAUGCAAGUCGAACGGAAAGGCCCUGCUUUUGUGGGGUGCUCGAGUGGCGAACGGGUGAGUAACACGUGAGUAACCUGCCCUUGACUUUGGGAUAACUUCAGGAAACUGGGGCUAAUACCGGCUAGGAGCUCCUGCUGCAUGGUGGGGGUUGGAAAGUUUCGGCGGUUGGGGAUGGACUCGCGGCUUAUCAGCUUGUUGGUGGGGUAGUGGCUUACCAAGGCUUUGACGGGUAGCCGGCCUGAGAGGGUGACCGGCCACAGUGGGACUGAGAUACGGCCCAGACUCCUACGGGAGGCAGCAGUGGGGAAUAUUGCACAAUGGGCGGAAGCCUGAUGCAGCAACGCCGCGUGCGGGAUGACGGCCUUCGGGUUGUAAACCGCUUUCGCCUGGGACGAAGCGUGAGUGACGGUAAAGGGUAAAGAAGGACCGGCUAACUAAGUG